AGAGUUUGAUCCUGGCUCAGAAUGAACGCUGGCGGCGUGCCUAACACAUGCAAGUCGAACGAGAAACUUCGAGCUUGCUCGAAGAAGUAAAGUGGCGCACGGGUGAGUAACGCGUGAGUAACCUGCCCUUGAAUCUGGGAUAACUUCGCGAAAGCGUUGCUAAUACCGGAUAUCGUCCUUGAGGCUUUGGUCUUGAGGAUGAAAGAUGACCUAUUCAUGAAAGUUGUUGUUCGUGGAGGGGCUCGCGUACCAUUAGCUUGUUGGUGGGGUAAUGGCCUACCAAGGCGACGAUGGUUAGCUGGUCUGAGAGGAUGAUCAGCCACACUGGAACUGAAACACGGUCCAGACUCCUACGGGAGGCAGCAGUGGGGAAUUUUGCGCAAUGGGCGAAAGCCUGACGCAGCGACGCCGCGUGGAGGAAGAAGGCCUUUGGGUUGUAAACUCCUUUCGUGAGGGAAAAAGUCUCGAGCAAUCGGGAUGAUGUACCUCAAGAAGAAGCCACGCUAACU
rnacentral:rRNA from 1 species